AUGAACGCUGGCGGCGUGCUUAAUACAUGCAAGUCGAACGGAGAGUUUUGUAGUAAUACGAAGCUUCUCAGUGGCGAACGGGCGAGUAACGAGUUGGUGACCUGCCCCGAAGUGUGGGAUAACAGUCCGAAAGGAUUGCUAAUACCGCAUGUGAUCAUCGGUUUUAGAAUCUGAUGAUUAAAGCAGUAAUGCGCUUCGGGAGGGACCUGCUUCCCAUCAGCUGGUUGGUGAGGUAAUGGCCCACCAAGGCUACGACGGGUAAGGGACCUGAGAGGGUGGUCCCUCGCAAUGGCACUGAAACACGGGCCAUACACCUACGGGUGGCAGCAGUAGGGAAUAUUGGGCAAUGGGCGAAAGCCUGACCCAGCAACGCCGCGUGCACGAUGAAGGCCUUCGGGUCGUAAAGUGCUUUUCUGGGGAAUGAGAAAGGACAGUACCUCAGGAAUAAGCCUCGGCUAACUACGU
rnacentral:rRNA from 1 species